CAACCGGGGCAAAAUUGGGUCUUCUUCUUCGUCUUCUUCAGAAGUUCUUUUUCAAUUAAACACAACCCCACUGAGUCACUGACUCCCUCUCCCUCCCCUCUUCGUCUUCUUCUUCCUCCGACGCUCCCUCCGACCCCUCCGCGACCUCCCAUCCUAGUUCCCAGUCGUCAGCGUUGCGUGAAGCCAGCUUCCCCUCCCCUCCACCAUUCGGUGGUCACUUCGAUCGGUGGCCGAAAGGACAUCCCUAAUCCGAGCCUUUUCCUGUGGGUACUCUUCUUAAGAGGCUCAAUUUGCGAUUUCCCACUUCUAUAUCGGAGUGAAAGAUGGAUAAUUGGAGUAGCAAUUGGACAUAUUGUAAGGACUUAUAGAUAUUUAGUUUUGUAGAUUGAUUGAUGAGACAUAAUAUUUUUUAUUAUUGUGAAUUAAUCUAAAUUUAUAUCGUAUUAUAUUUGCCGUGAUUACUGAUUA